CGGCGAAAGCCGGAUUAAUACCGCAUACGAUCUACGGAUGAAAGUGGGGGACCUUCGGGCCUCGCGCUAUAGGGUUGGCCGAUGGCUGAUUAGCUAGUUGGUGGGGUAAAGGCCUACCAAGGCGACGAUCAGUAGCUGGUCUGAGAGGACGACCAGCCACACUGGGACUGAGACACGGCCCAGACUCCUACGGGAGGCAGCAGUGGGGAAUUUUGGACAAUGGGCGAAAGCCUGAUCCAGCAAUGCCGCGUGUGUGAAGAAGGCCUUCGGGUUGUAAAGCACUUUUGUCCGGAAAGAAAUCCUUGGUCCUAAUAUGGCCGGGGGAUGACGGUACCGGAAGAAUAAGCACC
rnacentral:rRNA from 1 species